rnacentral:rRNA from 1 species
AUGGCAACACGAGACGGAAAAUCUACCCAAGAAUCAUACGGGUUCAAGUAUCAACUCACAGUGGUGGUGUUGGUGGUGAUCCAGCGAGUGGAUACGGCGACCGCUCCGACGGCGACCACGGAGAAGAAGAGGAAGGUCGCGCUCGUUCUCGACAGCGCCGCGACGAGCUUGCUGGACCGCUGUCCCUCCACGGCCCCAGCUGGUGCCACCGCCAUCGCCAUGGCGGCCGGCCUCUUCGCCAACCGCCGGUGA